UAAGCACUGCUUUCUUCUUAGUUUUUAUACAGCUCUCGAGCUAUAAUCCAAAGCCUGUUGUUUACAUUUGCAGCCUGCAAACAGCCUGCUAGGGAAUGGCCCAGAAUCCAUAAGGAACUGCAGGCUUUGCCAGUGGGAGUCACCUGCUGAAUUCCGCGGUCAGACAAGACCCGGGGAAGCUUCUCCAUCUGUCUGCAGUGGGAAUCGUUGCUGCCGGGGCAGAAUGACGGAAGUUCAGAGAAGACUGCGGGCCUCAGGCCGUCAGAGAGGUGAGGGAGGUAGCUCCUUCCCUAGGACGUGAUUUGUAGUCAUUUGCUGAGAAACUUCCCUUGCUGUGUUGAGCUGCAGCUGUCGGGAUAAAAGGUGCUUUCUCAGAGAUAAAGAAGGCCACCACCUUCAGCCAAGAGAAAGAGGGAAGAAGAAUAGAUACAGAGAAGCUAAGGGGAAACUAAGAUUCUGUUGCCCGAGAGAAAGAAAGGAAGCAAAGGUCUCCUGGUGCCGGGAUUGAAAUAGGAAGUAGAUGGUGAAAAGCAGACCUUGUGCGGGGACACAUGGGCGGAGUUACAUGCUGGUGACAAAGAGCCCCACUGUUUCCGCAGCUUCAAACAACACAAGUUCAUUUCUCAGGCACGUUGAUUGUUCUUCGCAGACCAGCCGGCAGCUCUGUCUCUUGUGAACAUACAGGAACUGGGCCCGUGGAGGCUCCAUCUUGACUUUGAGGCAAGAAGAUAAGAACAUGCACGAAGUUUCUAUUGAGCACCGGGUCUUCAAGCUCCCACACAAAAUAGAUGCGGCUGUCACGUGUCACUACCAUGGCAACACUGGCUCACAGCUAACUUCCAAUCCUAAUGACUACCCCAGCAAGCAUCACCAAAUGAGAGAAGAAUGGAGGAAGACACAGGGAGUGAUGUUGUUACAGCUACACCAGUCUUCCUAGCUGUUCUUGGGGGGAGAACCACUUCCAGAAGUGGAAAAUUCGGGAAGUGACAUUAGGACGGAGACCUGAGUGCAGAAGAGCUGGCAUCGUCAGGAUCUGGGGAAGAGUGCCAAGGCCGGGAGGUAUAUCAAGAACAAUCAUUUGCGGAAGCGUUCCAGGGACUAGAAGGCCUGAUCUCAGCACAAAACCCUGAUAAUUGAGCUCAAGUCCUCUCUCACCAUUUGGAAGUGGCUCAGCACAGUCAAGAAGCUCAAGGAACAGAGGUUACUGCUUCUGGGGACGCGCUUUGGCGUGGGAAGAGAUGUACUCAUUACUGUAAUUUUAAGAGUGAACCACAAUAAAGCAGAGCGGAAGCAGAGGACGAGGAAUCAGGCCUGCCCACCGCGAUGUGCUCAAUCUGACCACUCCAUCAC